rnacentral:rRNA from 1 species
GUUAGGAAUAUUGGACAAUGGGCGAAAGCCUGAUCCAGCCAUGCCGCGUGAACGAUGAAGGCCUUAGGGUUGUAAAAUUCUUUCACCGGGGACGAUAAUGACGGUACCCGGAGAAGAAGCUCCGGCUAACUUCGUGCCAGCAGCCGCGGUAAUACGAAGGGGGCUAGCGUUGCUCGGAAUUACUGGGCGUAAAGGGCGCGUAGGCGGACAGCUUAGUCAGAGGUGAAAGCCCAGGGCUCAACCUUGGAAUUGCCUUUGAUACUGGCGGGCUUGAGUUUGGGAGAGGUGAGUGGAACUCCGAGUGUAGAGGUGAAAUUCGUAGAUAUUCGGAAGAACACCAGUGGCGAAGGCGGCUCACUGGCCCAAUACUGACGCUGAGGCGCGAAAGCGUGGGGAGCAAACAGGAUUAGAAACCCCGGUAGUCC